GACGAACCGUGCGAACGUUAUUCGGAAUCACUGGGCUUAAAGCGCGUGUAGGCGGGGCGGCACGUCGGUCGCUGAAAUCCCCCGGCUUAACCGGGGAAGGGGCGCCGAUACGACCGCCCUGGAGGGACGUAGGGGGAGCUGGAACUUCCGGUGGAGCGGUGAAAUGCGUUGAGAUCGGAAGGAACGCCCGCGGCGAAAGCGAGCUCCUGGACGUCUGCUGACGCUGAGACGCGAAAGCCAGGGGAGCGAACGG
rnacentral:rRNA from 1 species